rnacentral:rRNA from 1 species
UACGUAGGUGGCGAACGUUAUCCGGAAUUAUUGGGCGUAAAGGAUGCGUAGAUGGUGUAGUAAGUUAUCGGUGGUAAAUCGAGGCUCAACCUCGUGGAAGUCGGUAAUACUGCUAUGCUAGAGGAUAGGAGAGGUUAACGGAACUCCCUGUGGGGCGGUGAAAUGCGUAGAUAUAGGGAAGAACACCAAUAAGGCGAAGGCAGUUAACUAUUCUAUUCCUGACAUUGAGGCAUGAAAGCGUGGGGAGCAAAACGG